rnacentral:rRNA from 1 species
GUCCACGCUGUAAACGAUGGGCACUAGGUGUGCGGGGUGUCGACUCCCUCCGUGCCGAAGCUAACGCAUUAAGUGCCCCGCCUGGGGAGUACGGCCGCAAGGCUAAAACUCAAAGGAAUUGACGGGGGCCCGCACAAGCAGCGGAGCAUGUGGUUUAAUUCGACGCAACGCGAAGAACCUUACCUGGGCUUGACAUGUUCCUGACCGCCCCGGAAACGGGGCCUCCCUUCGGGGCAGGAUCACAGGUGGUGCAUGGCUGUCGU